rnacentral:rRNA from 1 species
CGGCACAUAAGACAUGCAAGUCGAACGGAAGUCGUUACAGUAGAAGUGGAUUGAAGAUUUAUCAGAUUGAAGCGGAAGUUGUAACAAUGGCUUAGUGGCGGACUGGUGAGUAACACGUAAGCAAUCUACCUAUUAGAGGGGGAAUAACAAUGAGAAAUCAUUGCUAAUACCGCAUAAGCUUGUAGGAUCGCAUGAUCCAGCAAGAAAAGGAGUAAUCCGCUAAUAGAUGAGCUUGCGGCUGAUUAGCUAGUUGGUUAGGUAACGGCUGACCAAGGCGACGAUCAGUAGCCGGGCUGAGAGGCUCUGCGGCCACAUUGGGACUGAGAUACGGCCCAGACUCCUACGGGAGGCAGCAGUCGGGAAUAUUGCGCAAUGGAGGAAACUCUGAACCGCAGUGACGCCGCGUAUAGGAAGAAGGUUUUAGGAUUGUAAACUAUUUUAGACAGGGAAGAAAAAUGACAGUACCUGUAGAAUAAGCUCCGGCUAACUACGUGCCAGCAGCUGC